GAUGAAGAACGCAGCGAAAUGCGAUACGUAAUGUGAAUUGCAGAAUUCAGUGAAUCAUCGAAUCUUUGAACGCACAUUGCGCCCGCCAGUAUUCUGGCGGGCAUGCCUGUUCGAGCGUCAUUUCAACCCUCAAGACCCCUUCGGGGGACUUGGUGUUGGGGACCGGCACAGGGGCCUGCCUGCUUGUCUUGCAGCGCCCUCGCCGCCCCCGAAAUGAAUUGGCGGCCUCGUCGCGGCCUCCCCUGCGUAGUAGCACAAACCUCGCAACGGGAACGUGACGGCGGCCACUGCCGUAAAACAACCCAAUUUUAUUAGAGUUGACCUCGAAUCAGGUAGGAAUACCCGCUGAACUUAAGCAUAUCAAUAAGCGGAGG
rnacentral:misc_RNA from 1 species